UGAGGAAAGGACGCGGAUGCAGACUAUUGGAUGCCCUAAUGAGAAGGUGAGAUUCUCAAUAAUAUUUAUUUUGUGGUUGAUCAUUUUUGGUUAUUUAUUGUAAUCUUAAUCAUGAUUCAAAUUUGAUAUAACACAUUUUAGAGCAUAAUUAGAGGAUUAUUAAAUCAGAAAACAUUUCAAAUGCAUAUGCAUGAAAUAUUAACCUAAGAUAUUGAUGUUGAAAUAAGAAACAUUUGCUAAUGGAUUCUUUGUGUCAGUCAGUCAGUCAGUCAGAAAGCAAACACUUAUUAUUGUCUCUAUAGAAAAUAUUGUUGUUGUCACAUCCUGACCAUAGAAAACCUUUAUUUUCUAUGGUAGAGUAGGUCAGGGCGUGACUAGGGGGGUUAGUUUAGUUUAUAUUUUCUAUUUGGGGUUCUAGGUUGUUUUUUCUAUGUUGGGGUUUUGGUAUGAUUCCCAAUUAGAGGCAGCUGGCUAUCAUUGUCUCUAUUUGAGGAUCAUACUUAAGUAGCAUUUUUUCCACCUGUGUGUUAUGGGAUAUUGUUUGGAGUUAGUGCACAUCUGUAGUCACGGCUUGUUUGUUUGUUUUGUUUCACUAUUAAUAAAGUAUGUUGAACUCUACAUUCGCUGCGCCUUGGUCCAUCUCUACAAACGAACGUGACAGUUGUUUUUUCGUGCUUUGAUUAUUGGUUAUUGCUAAUCCAUAUUUGCCACUGCAUUUAGCUCAGCAUAAAACAUGUUUUGCAUUCAUAUCACUGAGUACCAUUAUUUAAACAGGUAAGUCAAUUGAGAAUCAAUUUUGCAUCAGUAACUGGUGUGUUUUUUUUUUGACAUAGAAGAUCUGUUCAUAGAUGAAGACUUUAUCUAUUCACCUGUUGAUCCACUUCCUUUAUUCACUUCCUCGUUUAUCCUACAAUACCUUCUAACAUGGAGGACUUGGAAACCUUAAACCACAAUUGUUCUAGGUUCGCAACAGAUUUCGGUCAGGUUCUCAACGUCUCCUUUAUGUUCUGUCCUUUACAAUAACGUUGAGUAACGGGGUCAGUCACACCAUCUUCCUGGGCUCCUGCCGUUUCCGGACCCCUCCGGGGGUACCUGUAGGCCUCUCGGGCCACAGUGGACCUAGCAGUGGGGGUACUGCUCAUCACACAGAGAUACAGGCACCACUGGCGGGAAGAGAAGAACCACAGCCACAGGGGGUUGGUCCCUGUUUCCUGAUAGGACCCAUAUUCGCUGGGUGUGCGUUAGUUUCAGUGACCACCAUCUUCCUGCUGUCAGUGGAGAGGGGUAUAACGGUGCUGAAACCCCUGCAUAAGAACCUAGUGGUGACCAGAGAGAGGACUCUGUGGCUGAUCGCCCUCUCCUGGCUGUUCUGCUUCCUCCUGGCUGUCUCCCCUCUUCCUCAGAUGCGAUGAUAUCACUCUGGAGUACAACCUCUGCAGCAAGAUGUGUAACUACGCAAUAUUAUCAAGAACAUAAGAGCACCACUGGGGGAGGGUGAUGCUUCUCUUCCCUGCCUUCAAUAUCUCUCUCCUGGGGGCCACCUCAGUCGUCAACCUGGUCACCUUCUCUGCUGUCCGCAGCUUCUGCCACGCCAGGAAGCAAGUGCUCACUAAAGCUCAACACACACACGGGUCUGCCUUUUACAACCUGCGAGCGGCCAAGACCAUUCUUAUCCUUACAGCCUUCCUCUUAUCCUCGGUGGUCCCCGUGGCGGUUCUCGUGGUGGGGAGUGUUCCAGGUGUAGUCUGGUGUCGGUUCUCCCGCUAUGCCUUCUGGCUUCUAGCCUGCAGUAGUGGGUGGAAUAUUCUGAUCUACAGCGCACGGGACCAUCGGUUCCGUCAGAGGGUGCAGGAGCUGUUCCUGGGGAAAGUGGGCAGCAGGAUGCGGGUGCAGAGCUGGGUCGGACCCCUGCACUGGCUCAUUGGGGUUGAGGAAGGUCGGGACGCAGUGUGGCAGUCAUCAGCAAUGUCUUGGCUCCUGACUUUACACUGACAUAAAUACGCACCUCAGAGAUCACCGUCAGACAUGAGGUCCCCACGGUCACCAGUCUUAGGAGGACAGGUUAGCUAUUUGUUCUAAAAAAAUGUAAUAAAAAAAUCUAACAGUUUAUCUAAAAAAAAAAAUAAGUAGAGAAGUUGCCAUAGCAGUUGGAUAGCCAACCGACCUGCAGUAAAAGUCCAAAUAAGAAGAGAAAUAUGAGGUCUAACAUAUUUAAGGCAGUUGUAUGUCCAAAAUAAGGUUGGGCGCUGUAUGAUAGUGAUCAGGGAUGUUUUGAGCUUUGAAACUCAACGUUUCGGCUCCAGUGCAACUACAAUCAGGAAAAAAAGGUGCUAACUAGAACCUAAAAGUGGUCUUACGGCUGUCCCCAUAGGAGAACCCUUUUAGUUCCAGCUAGAACCUUUUUGGAUUCCAUGUAGUGUUUCCAAAAGGGUUAGAGCUGGAACCAAAAAAAUAAUCUUGCUGGAACCAAAAAUGGUUCUCCUAUGGGGACAGCCAACGAAUCCUUUUUUUCUAAGUGUAGACUGCAUGGUUUUAUCAUGAGCAUUGUCUAUGGUUUCUAUAUGAUACAAAUAAUAUUGUAUUUGUCACAUGGACCGCAUACAACAUGAAAUGGUUAUUUACGAGCCCUUAACCAACAAUGCAGUUUUAAGAAAAUAGAGCUAAGAAAAUAUCUACUAAAUUAACUCCAGUUUAAAAAAGGAACACAAUAAAAUAACAAUGAGGCUAUAUACAGGGGGUGGUACUGAGUCAAUGUGCGCAGGGGACAGGUUAGUCGAGGUAAUUCAUGUAAUUUGACAAAUUAAAGGAGAACAGCACACUCUAGGAGCUCCGGUGCAAUAAUUGAAUUACCUAAUAUCCAACGUUUCAACAGACAAGCUGUCUUCAUUAGGGUAUAAUAACAAACACUAUGGGGUGACUAGUUCAUAUAGUGUCAAAGGACACACACAGGUGUCUGUAAUCAUGGCCGGGUGUGGCCUUAUAUCAUUGGUUAAUUCUCAUAUUAAAAUAGCAUUCAAAAAACAUAAAUGGAUAGCAUACGAUCAUAGAUACAAUUUGGCUACAUAGGCCUACAAACAUUUACAAUAGCAAAAUCACAAUAAUCACAAGAAUGGCUUCAGAUCAAAGUCUACGUUGAGACCAAAGGGAGCAAGGGUCUUUAAAUUGAGGUAAUUUGUACAUGUAGGUCGGGGUAAAGUGACUAUGCAUAGAUAAUAAACAGAGAGUAGCAGCAGUGUAAAAACAAAGGGGGGUCAAUGCAAAUAGUCCAGGUGGCCAUUUUAUUAAUUGUUCAGCAGACUUAUGGCUUGGGGGUAGAAGCUGUUAAGGAGCCUUUUGGACCUCUGUGGUAGCAGAGAGAACAGUCUUUGACUUGGGUGACGGGAGUCUUUUACUAUUUUUUUCAGCCUUCCUCUGACACCGCCUGGUAUAUAGGUCAUGGAUGGCAAGAAGCUUGGCCCUAGUGAUGUACUGGGCUGUACGCAUUACCCUCUGUAGCACCUUAUGGUUGAAUGCUGAGCAGUUGCCAUGCCAGGUGGUGAUGCAACUGGGCUGGAUGUUCUCGAUAGUGCAAUUGUAACACUUUUUGAGGAUCUGGGGACGCAUGCCAAAUCUUUUCAGUCUCCCGAGGGGGAAUAGGCGUUGUCGUGCCCUCUUCACGACUGUCUUGGUGAGUUUGGACCAUGAUAGUUUGUUGGUGAUGUGGACACCAAGGAACUUGAAGCUCUCGAACCGCUUCAUACAGAUAAGAUAUAGCUGAAUUCUAACUUGAUGCUUUCACAAAGCGAUGUAAACUCAAUGAACUGCUAUUUCCUUGUACGGAGGACGGUGACAUUCAGAAUGUUGUAAUUGUGUGAGUGUUGAUUCAAUGUACAUUCAAAUGAGUCACUGGCUGUGGAAGAAAUGACAUAUUAAGCACAUCAUAAAACAACCAAUUUCAGGUGGGAGGGAAGUUCCUCUUGUUUCUAUCUCCUCUGGUAAUCAUUUGUCUGGUCAGAUGAGAGAUGGACUGAUGCUAGCUGAUCCUGUUAGUAUACAACUCAGCUAGCCUGAUAGGUAGCAUCUAAUAGUUUGUGAAUUCACUUGAAUAACAGAAGCUUGUAAGUCAGCCUUGACUUUUUAUUCGUUGCAUCUUGUCUUUCUCUCUCAAUUUAAUUUCAUGUUUAAAAAUUGUAUUACAAUGUAUAUUACUGCCUUAAUUUUUGCUGCACCCCAGGAAGAGUAGCAGCUGCCUUGGCAGAUCCUAAUGGGGAUCCAUAAUAAAUACCAAAUCAAAGGCCUUUAUUGGCAUUGGAAACAUGUUUACAUUGCCAAAGUAAGUGAAAUAGGUAAUACAUACAAGUGAAAUAAACAAUCAGAAAUUAACAGUAAACAUUACACUCACAAAAGUUUCAAAAUAAUAGAGACAUGUCAAAUGUUAUAUUUUGGCUCUGUACAGUGUUGUGAAAAUGUGGAGAAUUUCUCUCUGUCUCUCUCUCUCUGGCUGUCUUACGCUCACUCUCUUUCUCCUAUUUCUCUCUUUAUUUCUUGCAAAAACUUAAUUACUUUUGCUUUGCUGAACAGCUUUGACUAGUGCCUAGUGUGUGUGUGCGAGCAUGUGUAUCCUAUACAUAUGUCCAUUGCAGGUUUUGCUUUGGUUAUUGCUCCAGGGUAAAGCCCGCUAUAACACAUAGGUUUAACAAAAUCUAAAUGUAUUCUAGCAUUUAAAUAGGAUUGCGGACAAGGCCCUCAUGCUUCAGCAGCUUGUUACAGCUUGAUGAGGAUUCAUUGAUUGUUUUGAUGCCAAGGAAAAACACCACCCAAGGAGGAAAGGAGAUACACCCUCUAAGGUCUUUGUCCAGUUCUUCUGGUAAAAGAGACUAUCUCAACAAGACUUCUGAAAAAUCACAGCACCCCAUGACUAGCCUGGUUGACACUCGAUCCACGUAACUACACAGCGAGUUGAAAACUUGGGGAGCUGGUGUCAGACUACCCCACGGCAACUUAUUUGACAAAUAUUGUAUUACAUAACAUGCCUAUGGAUGUUGCUAAAGACAAAGAUAAAUACAUAAUUUUCCAUGUCUUAUGUCCAGUGUUGUUUGGUUCAGAGGUCACCCGACCUGACCUGGUCUCACAUGGGUUGUCACGCCCUGAUCUGUUUCACCUGAUCUGUUUCAUUGUCUCCACCCCCUCCAGGUGUCACUUAUUUUCCACAGUGUAUUUUCCUGUCUCUCUGUGCCAGUUCGUCUUGUAUGUUUCCAAGUCAACCAGUGUUUCUAGUCCUCCUGGUUUUGACCCUUGCCUGUUUCUGGACUUUGUACCCGCCUGCCUGACCACGAGCCUGUCUGCCACUCUGUACGUCCUGGACUCUAAUCUGGUUUUGACCUUUUUGCCUGUCCACGACCAUUCUCUUACCUACUCCUUUGAAUUAAUAAACUUUGUAAGACUCCAAACAUCUGCCUCCUGUGUCUGCAUUUGGGUCUCGCCUUGUGCCUUGAUAUGGGUAGGUUAUACAGCCCAAACACAUUAACUUCUGCUUUCUG